GACGAACGCUGGCGGCGUGCCUAAUACAUGCAAGUUGAGCGAUGAAGCUUGGUGCUUGCACCAAUUUGAAGAGCAGCGAACGGGUGAGUAACGCGUGGGGAAUCUGCCUUUGAGCGGGGGACAACAUUUGGAAACGAAUGCUAAUACCGCAUAACAACUUUAAACAUAAGUUUUAAGUUUGAAAGAUGCAAUUGCAUCACUCAAAGAUGAUCCCGCGUUGUAUUAGCUAGUUGGUGAGGUAAAGGCUCACCAAGGCGAUGAUACAUAGCCGACCUGAGAGGGUGAUCGGCCACAUUGGGACUGAGACACGGCCCAAACUCCUGCGGGAGGCAGCAGUAGGGAAUCUUCGGCAAUGGACGAAAGUCUGACCGAGCAACGCCGCGUGAGUGAAGAAGGUUUUCGGAUCGUAAAACUCUGUUGGUAGAGAAGAACGUUGGUGAGAGUGGAAAGCUCAUCAAGGGACGGGAACUACCCAGAAAGGGACGGCGAACUACGG
rnacentral:rRNA from 1 species